ACCUAAUAGAUACCCAGGUAGUCCACGCCCUAAACGAUGCGAACUGGAUGUUGGGUACAUUACGGUACUCAGUGUCGAAAGCUAAACGCGUUAAGUUCGCCGCCUGGGGAGUACGGGUCGCAAGACUGAAACUCAAAGGAAUUGACGGGGGCCCGGCACAAGCGGUGGAGUAUGUGGUUUAAUUCGAUGCAACGCGAAGAACCUUACCUGGCCUUGACAUCUGUCGAAUCCUGCAGAGAUGCGGGAGUGCCGCAAGGAACGCAAGACAGGUGCUGCAUGGCUGUCGUCAGCUCGUGUCGUGAGAUGUUGGGUU
rnacentral:rRNA from 1 species